rnacentral:lncRNA from 1 species
CCCAGCCCACAGAAACCUUUCAGUAAGUGAAAGGUUUUAUUCAUGCAGAGGAUAUCCAAAACCAAGGAGUUGCUAACCUCAUGGAAAACCCAGGGAUCUAUGGCUUGCCUGGAAGCUAACACCAUGAAGCAAGAGACAAACUUGGCAGACUGAACUCUGCUACUUCUCUAUCCAGUAUGGGAAAGAUCAAAAUGAACACCUGCCAGCACUGCA